CAGCAGCAGCAGCAGCAGCAGCAGCAACGGCUACCCAUAUAACAGGUUAUUCAUGCGGACGGACAGACAGACCCUGUCUACGCGUGUGUGUGUGUAGUCGUCGAGGUCGGAGGGUAGUCGGUGUAACCUUAUCAGAUCCCUCGUCUACGAAACACGAACGACGGACGCGGGUUAUAUAUAUAUAUAUACCUGAGUUAAUAUAUAUUAACUUCGUACACACGGGUGUUACGUAUAUAUACAGGUGUACGUGUCACCCCGUAUAAAGAGUAAGCGAAGUUUACCCCAGAUCAGAUAAUUUCCAACAACUUUACCAUCGAAAUAUUAUUACCGCGAGCUCUAUAAUUCGUCACAUUUUCCCUGUCCGUUGUUUCUUUAUGUUUUUCGUUUUUUAUUUUCCCUACAUUUUUCUUGAAAAUUAAAGAAAAGUAUAAGGGGUGCGUAUUCAUUACUCUUGCAACUUGUCAUCGCGUAGGGAACCAAUGAUUGUUUCAGUGAAUCUGAUCGUGCGCUAAAAAUGACGAGAGUAUCAGAUAUUGGUGGGUAUACGUACCUACCCAUGUGAAUAUGUGAAUGUGAAUACACGAAUGUACUACCUAUAUGCAUAUAUACGUAUAUGAUACGGUCA
rnacentral:misc_RNA from 1 species